CAGCCGCCACGGUAAUACGGAGGGUGCAAGCGUUAUCCGGAUUUAUUGGGUUUAAAGGGUCCGUAGGCGGAUCUGUAAGUCAGUGGUGAAAUCUCACAGCUUAACUGUGAAACUGCCAUUGAUACUGCAGGUCUUGAGUAAAUUUGAAGUGGCUGGAAUAAGUAGUGUAGCGGUGAAAUGCAUAGAUAUUACUUAGAACACCAAUUGCGAAGGCAGGUCACUAAGAUUUAACUGACGCUGAUGGACGAAAGCGUGGGGAGCGAACAGGAUUAGAUACCCCAGUAGUCCCUGUCUCUUAUAU
rnacentral:rRNA from 1 species